GCGAUCGUUGUACUUUUUUGUAAAUAUUUCUUGAAAGACCCUUGGUGUACCUGUGGACUUGGCCUGUUCUGGAGAUGUGGUCGAUCUCUUUGUCUGGUUCCUCCUGUGUAUCGAUGUGAAGGAUGGCUCUUCUAGAAUGGUAACGGAGAGCGGAGAGUUUGUGUGUGAUCGGGUCUGGAGACCAUCUAGGAGUUGUCACGGGUUCAUGCAUUGGCUUUCUGUGUGCAGCGAUGGGGAGCUUUCUAUUUUCUAACUCUAAAGUUAGAAUUGGAAAAUAGAAGGCUCUUCACCGCUGUAUACAGAGGGCCAAUGUAUGAACCCGUGAUGGUUCCUGGAUGGUCUCCGGACCGGAUUGCAUACGCACUCUCCGCUUUCUAUUAUUGUUUUGGAAGAGCCAUCCUUUACAUUGAUGCACAGGAGGAGUUGGACAGGGAGAUUGACUGUAUCUUUGGAGCGGGCCGGGUCCACAGGUGUACCAGGGGUCUUUCGGGAAACGUUUGUAAGGAGGUGCAGCGGUCGCUGGUGAGUGGGAGUAC
rnacentral:lncRNA from 1 species